rnacentral:lncRNA from 1 species
CUGACUCACCGGUCGAAUCACUUUCAUACACAUCACAAGAACUUUCAUCUCCAGCAUAUCCUUUAAAACCAGAACUUCUAAAAUAUCCAUCCCCACCAUCAGAAGGCCCAAAAGAGUCCCGCAUCCGCCUCGUAAUUUCUUUUGCAAUAUCCCUUGCUUCUUUUGACUUGGGCCUUGAUAUCCCCAUAUUCUUAGAUGAACUUUUCUCUUCCUCUAGUCCUGCUCCCCCAGGUGCACCAUCAGAAGGCCCAAAAGAGUCUCGCAUCCGCCUCGUAAUUUCCUUUGCAAUAUCCCUUGCUUCUUUUGACUUGGGCCUUGAUAUCCCCAAAUGCUUAGAUGAUUU